rnacentral:rRNA from 1 species
GAUGAACGCUGACAGAAUGCUUAACACAUGCAAGUCUACCUGAUCCUUCGGGUGAUGGUGGCGGACGGGUGAGUAACGCGUAAAGAACUUGCCCUGCAGUCUGGGACAACAUUUGGAAACGAAUGCUAAUACCGGAUAUUAUGUGAGUUUCGCAUGAAAUUCAUAUGAAAGUUAUAUGCGCUGCAGGAGAGCUUUGCGUCCUAUUAGCUAGUUGGUGAGGUAACGGCUCACCAAGGCGAUGAUAGGUAGCCGGCCUGAGAGGGUGAACGGCCACAAGGGGACUGAGACACGGCCCUU